rfam:Mycobacterium kansasii strain 1010001458 NODE_6_length_175896_cov_36.5867_ID_1301, whole genome shotgun sequence.
GUCGGAUUGGGGAUGAAUCGGUUGACGCGGUCGCCGAUGAUCGCCUGGGUAUGGCGGCCGUCGCUGAACAUCUGCACACCACGGCGGCGAAACCGCUU